ACUGAAAUUCUAACAUAAUAUACUAGAGUUCUAAUAUAAUAUAUAUCAGUGAGCAUAACAUACUGGAAGUUCAUACACAUGUGCUCCAAUCUCUAGUAUAUUAUGUUGGAACUUCCCGCGUGUUGGAGUUCCAACUUUAUAUGCUGGAAGUUCAUACAUAGGUGCAACGAUCUCUAGUUUAGUUGUAGUAUAAAUGUAGUAAUUUUUUAGAUACUCUUAAAAAUAAUACAGCUUUAU
rnacentral:lncRNA from 1 species